rnacentral:miRNA from 1 species
UUAAACAUUUCCGGAGCUAAUCCAUUUACCCCUUAGAACUAAGGGAAAUGGAUUAGCUCCGGAAAUGUUAAA